GAUGAACGCUGGCGGCGUGCCUAACACAUGCAAGUCGAACGGAAAUUACGGACGGAAGUUUUCGGAUGGAAGACUGUAAUUCUUAGUGGCGGACGGGUGAGUAACGCGUGGGCAACCUGCCCUAUACAGGGGGAUAGCAGCUGGAAACGGCUGGUAAGACCGCAUAAGUCGGUUAAAUCGCAUGAUUUGAUCGGGAAAUGAGCAAUCAGGUAUAGGAUGGGCCCGCGUCCGAUUAGCCAGUUGGCAGGGUAAAAGCCUACCAAAGCGACGAUCGGUAGCCGGACUGAGAGGUCGGACGGCCACAUUGGGACUGAGACACGGCCCAAACUCCUACGGGAGGCAGCAGUGGGGGAUAUUGCACAAUGGAGGAAACUCUGAUGCAGCGACGCCGCGUGAGUGAAGAAGUAUUUCGGUAUGUAAAGCUCUAUCAGCAGGGAAGAUGAUGACGGUACCUGACUAAGAAGCCCCGGCUAACUACGUG
rnacentral:rRNA from 1 species